CGUAGGGUGCGAGCGUUAAUCGGAAUUACUGGGCGUAAAGCGUGCGCAGGCGGUUUGUUAAGAUAGGCGUGAAAUCCCCGGGCUCAACCUGGGAACUGCGCUUAUGACUGGCAAGCUAGAGUACGGCAGAGGGGGGUGGAAUUCCACGUGUAGCAGUGAAAUGCGUAGAGAUGUGGAGGAACACCAAUGGCGAAGGCAGCCCCCUGGGUCGAUACUGACGCUCAUGCACGAAAGCGUGGGUAGCAAACAGGAUUAGAUACCCUGGUAGUCCACGCCCUAAACGAUGUCAACUAGGUGUUGGGAGGGUAAAACCUUUUAGUACCGGGGCUAACGCAUGAAGUUGACCGCCUGGGGAGUACGGCCGCAAGGUUA
rnacentral:rRNA from 1 species